rnacentral:rRNA from 1 species
GUUAUCCGGAUUUACUGGGCGUAAAGGGCAUGUAGGCGGUUUUUUAAGUCAGAUGUGAAAGGUACCGGCUCAACCGGUGACAUGCAUUUGAAACUGAAGAACUUGAGUAUUGGAGAGGCAAGCGGAAUUCCUGGUGUAGCGGUGAAAUGCGUAGAUAUCAGGAGGAACACCGGUGGCGAAGGCGGCUUGUUGGACAAAUACUGACGCUGAGAUGCGAAAGCGUGGGGAGC